rnacentral:rRNA from 1 species
ACUCCUACGGGAGGCAGCAGUAGGGAAUCUUCCGCAAUGGACGAAAGUCUGACGGAGCAACGCCGCGUGAGUGAUGAAGGCUUUCGGGUCGUAAAACUCUGUUGUUAGGGAAGAACAAGUGCUAGUUGAAUAAGCUGGCACCUUGACGGUACCUCCUUAGCAAGCACCGGCUAACUCCGUGCCAGCAGCCGCGGUAAUACGGAGGGUGCAAACGUUGCUCGGAAUCAUUGGGCGUAAAGCGCACGUAGGCGGCCUGUUAAGUCGGAUGUGAAAGCCCUCGGCUCAACCGAGGAAGUGCAUACGAAACUGGCAGGCUUGAAUAUGGAAGAGGGUCGCGGAAUUCCCGGUGUAGAGGUGAAAUUCGUAGAUAUCGGGAGGAACACCAGUGGCGAAGGCGGCGACCUGGGCCAAUAUUGACGCUGAGGUGCGAAAGCGUGGGGAGCGAACAGGAUUAGAUACCCUGGUAG